AUUUGAGCCAUGAGAGCCUCUUUGCUUUGGGACAGGUACCCUCAGCUCCAUUUUGGCAGCUAGUGCAAAGGCUGGGUCUAUGUGUGAAGGCAUUGCAGUUAUCCCGGCAAGUCCCAGAGCUGAGGUUUGGUCUGUGGGAGCUGCCUUCUCAGCAGGACACAUUCCCCUGCCCUGCCUGGGAUGGGCAGUGGGAGACGUGGGGACCUGUGCAGGCAGCAGGGAGAGGCUCUUUAACCACUGCAGAGGGGUAUGUCAGGCUCUCUGAGCUUCCCCCCUGGUUUAUACUGCUCAAACAUACAGCCUACUUCCUAAUAGGACUUUGCAGGUGUAAAAAGGGAAAACAGAGAGGCUUGCUCUCUCUUGCUAUUGGGCUACAUGUGUAGACAACAGUGCACUUCCUGCCUCGCUCCAGAUCUCAGCGACUACUGUUUUGUGAUCAUUGAUGUCCCACAAUGGUAUCUGGUGAAAGUAUCCUUACAGAGGAAGCCCUGACUUACAUCAUUUGAUAACGGAAUCUUUUAUUGAGACAAGUCGUGGUGGAUGAGGAGCAGUCACAAGUGAGCACAGGUAGUCUGCCAGUCUGGCAAUGGCAGGCAUGGUCAGCCUGCUCCCUGCAGGGAUGGACUCAGAGGGUCUUUCUGCUUCUUACCUUGGCAUCUUUAAUCUGACAGUAUCUCAUAGUGCAAGAUAAAAUGAAUCAAAAGGGUUUUUUUUCCAAACAUGUUUUGAAGCACAUUUGGUUGAAAAGAUACACUUCAUAAGGAGUCGCUGAGGAACUGUAUUAAAAAUAAGCCCUCAUUGCUCAGAAAUACCUUGUGCUUCCUCCCACAGCUGGAAAGAAGGUAUAAUCUUUUAGAUUAUGGGUGAGAGAGUAAGAUUAUUGCCUCAGCAAGAAUUAUUGUAAAAUUGAUUUCAUUUAGGUCACAGAACACAGAUUGUGACGUGAGGGGCAAAAUUUAACGAUAGCCUUGGCCUUACUGGAGGUGAGACAGGCAGCACUGAGGCUGGGGGCGAGGUGGGAGUGCUUGUGUUCUCCUCGGCUGUUGUAGGAAACCUCUUUAAAGGAAGCUUUACUUUGUGCAUUUCCAGUGUGGGUAAGGGAAACGGCUCCUCACCCUCUGCUGGUAGCAUCCUUGAAAUGAACUGCACUUUCCCUUAUAGAAAGCAUUUGCCCAGCCUGGAAGUCUUUGUGAUAUUGGGAUGCUAAUGUUGUAGAGGAACAAAUAAAGGCAAAGAUCAGGGCAUAGAUGGGGAGCACUUUAUGUCCUGUCUGGGAAGCACCACCAGCUUAGCCUGAUUCAACCAGGGCUACAUUUGCCUCCCAGGAGCAGAGGGAGGGUCAACUGUUUUUUAUGGCUGCACCAUGUGCCUGCAGAGCUUUUA